rnacentral:rRNA from 1 species
UUGAACGCUGGCGGUAUGCUUAACACAUGCAAGUCGAACGGAAACGAUACUAGCUUGCUAGUAGGCGUCGAGUGGCGGACGGGUGAGUAACGCGUAGGAAUCUGCCUGAUAGUGGGGGAUAGCCCGAAGAAAUUCGGAUUAAUACCGCAUAAUCUAUUCGUAGUAAAGUGGGGGACUUUCGAGCCUCACGCUAUCAGAUGAGCCUGCGUAAGAUUAGCUUGUUGGUAGGGUAAAAGCCUACCAAGGCGACGAUCUUUAGCUGGUCUGAGAGGAUGAUCAGCCACAUCGGGACUGAGACACGGCCCGAACUCCUACGGGAGGCAGCAGUGGGGAAUAUUGGACAAUGGGGGCAACCCUGAUCCAGCAAUACCGCGUGUGUGAAGAAGGCCUGAGGGUUGUAAAGCACUUUCAAUUGUGAAGAAAAGUUAGCGGUUAAUAACCGUUAGCCUUGACGUUAACUUUAGAAGAAGCACCGGCUAACUCCGUGCCAGCAGCCGCGGUAAUACGGAGGGUGCAAGCGUUAAUCGGAAUUACUGGGCGUAAAGCGUGCGUAGGCGGUUUAUUAAGUCAGAUGUGAAAGCCCCGGGCUUAACCUGGGAACUGCAUUUGAAACUGGUCAACUAGAGUAUGGUAGAGGAAAGUGGAAUUUCUGGUGUAGCGGUGAAAUGCGUAGAUAUCAGAAGGAACAUCAAUGGCGAAGGCAGCUUUCUGGACCAAUACUGACGCUGAGGUACGAAAGCGUGGGUAGCAAACAGGAUUAGAUACCCUGGUAGUCCACGCCGUAAACGAUGAUAACUAGCCGUUGGGGGGAUUUACCCCUUAGUGGCGAAGCUAACGCGUUAAGUUAUCCGCCUGGGGAGUACAGCCGCAAGGUUAAAACUCAAAGGAAUUGACGGGGACCCGCACAAGCGGUGGAGCAUGUGGUUUAAUUCGAUGCAACGCGAAGAACCUUACCUGGUCUUGACAUCCUGCGAACUUUCUAGAAAUAGAUUGGUGCCUUCGGGAACGCAGUGACAGGUGCUGCAUGGCUGUCGUCAGCUCGUGUCGUGAGAUGUUGGGUUAAGUCCCGUAACGAGCGCAACCCCUAUCCUUAUUUGCCAGCACAUCAUGGUGGGAACUAUAAGGAGACUGCCGGUGAUAAACCGGAGGAAGGCGGGGACGACGUCAAGUCAUCAUGGCCCUUACGACCAGGGCUACACACGUGCUACAAUGGGAAGGACAAAGAGCCGCGAAGCCGCGAGGUGUAGCUAAUCUCAUAAACCUUUUCGUAGUCUGGAUUGGAGUCUGCAACUCGACUCCAUGAAGUCGGAAUCGCUAGUAAUCGUAGAUCAGAAUGCUACGGUGAAUACGUUCCCGGGUCUUGUACUCACCGCC